rnacentral:misc_RNA from 1 species
UUUCCGUAGGUGAACCUGCGGAAGGAUCAUUAGUGAAUUUUAGGGUGCUCUCUUUUAACAAGAGAGGCCUGACCUCCACUCUCCAACACUGUGCACUUUAUGGCGAAGGAAAUUGAGUUUCUAGAGGUUUCGUUAGAGCCUCUUAUUACUCUUGCAUUUCCUUUGCGGCUUCAUUUUUUAACACUAGUCAAAGAAUGUAAAUAAAUCAUAACCAAAAAAAACUUUCAACAACGGAUCUCUUGGCUCUCGCAUCGAUGAAGAACGCAGC